rnacentral:rRNA from 8 species
UUGACCUCGAAUCAGGUA